AGUCACUGACAUUAGAUACCCGUGUAGUCCCAGCCGUAAACUAUGCUCGCUAGGUGUCAGGCAUGGCGCGACCGUGUCUGGUGCCGCAGGGAAGCCGUGAAGCGAGCCACCUGGGAAGUACGGCCGCAAGGCUGAAACUUAAAGGAAUUAGCGGGGGAGCACAACAACGGGUGGAGCCUGCGGUUUAAUUGGACUCAACGCCGGACAACUCACCGGGGACGACAGCAAUAUGUAGGCCAGGCUGAAGACCUUGCCUGAAUCGCUG
rnacentral:rRNA from 1 species